AUGGCUGUUCUCCUAACUUUGGGUAUUACGGGUGAUGCUAAAACCACACAGCCAAGUUCAAUAGAGAGUACCGAAGGACAACCUGUAAAUUUGCCUUGUAACCACUCCACAAUCAGUGGAAGCGAGUAUAUAUACUGGUAUCGACAGAUUCCCCACCGGGGUCCAGAAUAUGUGAUAAGUGGCCUAAAAGACGACGUGACCAAUGAAAUGGCCUCUCUGAUCAUCCCUACUGGCAGAAAAUCCAGUACCUUGAUCCUACCCCAUGCUACCCUGAAAGACACAGCCGUGUACUACUGCGUGGUGAGAGACACACAGUGGUUCGAGUGGGGCUACACCUGUGCGGUAUCUCUCUGGUGGGGGAAGGGAAGCAGUAGCAGCCAUCUAAGAGGCUACUGCACAAGAUGA